rnacentral:rRNA from 1 species
GACGAACGCUGGCGGCGUGCCUAAUACAUGCAAGUCGAGCGAAUCUUGAGGUGCUUGCACCUCUUGGUUAGCGGCGGACGGGUGAGUAACACGUGGGCAACCUGCCUGUAAGACUGGGAUAACUUCGGGAAACCGGAGCUAAUACCGGAUAAUCCUUUUCCUCUCAUGAGGGAAAGCUGAAAGUCGGUUUACGCUGACACUUACAGAUGGGCCCGCGGCGCAUUAGCUAGUUGGUGAGGUAACGGCUCACCAAGGCGACGAUGCGUAGCCGACCUGAGAGGGUGAUCGGCCAAACUGGGACUGAGACACGGCCCAGACUCCUACGGGAGGCAGCAGUAGGGAAUCUUCCGCAAUGGACGAAAGUCUGACCGAGCAACGCCGCGUGAGCGAUGAAGGCCUUCGGGUCGUAAAGCUCUGUUGUCAGAGAAGAACAAGUACCGGAGUAACUGCCGGUACCUUGACGGUACCUGACCAGAAAGCCACGGCUAACUACGUGCCAGCCGCCGCCGUAACAC